AACGAACGCUGGCGGCAGGCCUAACACAUGCAAGUCGAACGCACCGCAAGGUGAGUGGCGCACGGGUGAGUAACACGUGGGAAUGUACCCUUUGGUUCGGAAUAACGUCUGGAAACGGACGCUAAUACCGGAUGAGCCCUGCGGGGGAAAGAUUUAUCGCCAAAGGAGCAGCCCGCGUCUGAUUAGCUAGUUGGUGGGGUAAAGGCCUACCAAGGCGACGAUCAGUAGCUGGUCUGAGAGGAUGAUCAGCCACACUGGGACUGAGACACGGCCCAGACUCCUACGGGAGGCAGCAGUGGGGAAUAUUGGACAAUGGGUGAAAGCCUGAUCCAGCCAUGCCGCGUGAGUGAUGAAGGCCUUCGGGUUGUAAAGCUCUUUCGCACGCGACGAUGAUGACGGUAGCGUGAGGAGAAGCCCCGGCUAACUUCGUGCCAGCAGCCGCCGUAACAC
rnacentral:rRNA from 1 species